rnacentral:lncRNA from 1 species
GUCACCCAGGCUGGAGUGCAGUGGCGUGAUCUCGGCUCACUGCAAGUUCCACUUCCCAGGUUCAUGCCAUUCUCCUGCUUCAGCCUCCCGAACAGAUGGGUCUACAGGCGCCCGCCACCAUGCCCAGCUAAUUUUUUUGUAUUUUUUUUUUUCAGUAGAGACGGUGUUUCACCAUGUUAGCCAGGAUGGUCUUGAUCUCCUGACCUCGUGAUCCACCCACCUCGGCCUCCCAAAGUGCUGGGAUUACAGGCAUGAGCCACCACGCCCGGCCAAGUGGAAUGAAUUUUCAAGAGCAUUGAAGUUACCGAGCCCUCUGGCACAAAUGGAAGAAGAAAGAAGGGAGCAAGUAGCUAAAAUUAAGAAGAUGGAGAUGGAGAUGGAGCAGGUGUUUGAGAUGAAGGUCAAAGAAAAAGUUCAAAAACUGAAGGACUCUGAAGCUCAGGCCUUCGGGAAGUGUCGAGUCCGGGACGCCCAGCGCGGGCCGGAGCAGGGGAAGGGAAGCGCAGCUCGGUCCGCGUGGGUGGAGGG